CCCUCUCCUCCUCUCCGGGCGCCCCUCGCCCCCGCCUCUCAGUAGCUGCUAGGCUCGGGCUGCGGCCGCCCCCAGCCCCCCUACUCGGCCACCUCCCCAACUCUCUGGGGUCACUCCUGGAACGCGCGUCCUCGCCCCAUCCUUUCUUCCUUCCUUCCCUCGCGCCCGCCCUCGCUCUCCAGGUCUCCCGCCCGGGUCCUGAUUGUCUCGGUCCCUCCUCGGUCCGCCGGCGCCUCGCCCUGCCCGGAGUCUCCCUCGCACUUCCUGAGUCGCCCGCCGCCGCCGCCGCCGCCGCGCCGCUCCCGGGAGCCCGAGCCGCCGCUGCCCCGGCACAGCCCGCCGCGCCCGGGGAAGGGAAGAGUGGGCGAGCUCGCCCGCGCCCAGCCCCGCGCCCAGCCCUGCCCGGCGAGGGAGGACCGGGAAGAUGAACAACGGCGUCAAAGCCGAGGAGAACACCCCGAGCGAGGCCAGCCUUCAGGAGGAAGAGGUCCGGACCCUAUUUGUCAGUGGACUGCCCCUGGACAUCAAACCUCGGGAGCUCUAUCUGCUUUUCAGACCAUUUAAGGGCUAUGAGGGUUCUCUUAUAAAGCUCACAUCUAAGCAGCCUGUAGGAUUUGUGAGUUUUGACAGUCGCUCAGAAGCAGAAGCUGCGAAGAAUGCUUUGAAUGGCAUCCGCUUCGAUCCUGAAAUUCCGCAAACACUACGACUAGAGUUUGCUAAGGCAAACACGAAGAUGGCCAAGAACAAACUAGUAGGGACUCCAAACCCCAGUACUCCUCUGCCCAACACUGUACCUCAGUUCAUUGCCAGAGAGCCAUAUGAGCUCACAGUGCCUGCACUUUACCCCAGUAGCCCUGAAGUGUGGGCCCCGUACCCUCUGUACCCAGCGGAGUUAGCGCCUGCUCUACCUCCUCCUGCUUUCACCUAUCCCGCUUCACUGCAUGCCCAGAUGCGCUGGCUCCCUCCCUCCGAGGCUACUUCUCAGGGCUGGAAGUCCCGUCAGUUCUGCUGAAUACUACGUUCCAGGUGUGUGAUGGUGGCUGCAAUCUGUCUUGUGGGUAUUAAUGCAUCUUCAGUGGUGGCUACUGUUCUCGAGCUGUUCUACAAAACUGGAGCAUGCUGGCUUGAAAAAACCUUGCCCAGUUUUGAUCCCUUCAAGACUUUGCCACAGCCUCUAUCACACAUCUGUUUUUCUUGAAGAAAAAAAUAUAAUAAAAAUGUUUUACUCUUUUACACUGUAUAAUUGUAAGAAAUAGUGUGUUAUUUGUGAAUGCAUGGUCUGACGUCCAUUUCUGUACAGUUUGGAGAUAUUUUCAAAUGAAACAUAAAAGAUGUUAACAUAAACCCAGAGUGAGUAUUUUUAUACCAAACACUGAAAUAUGAUAGGAUGAUCUUACACUGGGUUGGAUCACAAUUUUUGUGCUUGAGUUUUGAAUGCCUGUAACUAAAAAUACCUAUUUUUUCUAAUGUAAGCUGCAUGUUUGAGGCAUGCUUUUAAAUAUGAAAACUUCCAGAACCAUAUUGUUAAUGUAUAGAAAUCUGUGCCGGGCCUGAGUCCGGGUGAAGGAGAAACGUGGAGUUAGAUGAGAGAGAGCUGUGCUGUCUGCAGUACAAGGUGUGCGCUGGCAGGUCUAGGACACCCUGCAAGACCAUUGCAAGCCUCCAGGAGCUGCUACCACAGUGACACGCUCACAGCUGGGCAAAGAAGCCUUUCCCUGAAGAGAGGGGUCCCUUAGAGAGCCCUGGCAGCUCCAGAGGUAACACAGUCUGUCUCACUGAGAAGGGAAACCUUGACUCUAGGCGGCCAGAGCUGCCUCAGGAAGCUGGCUUUGCCCAUCCUGCAUAGCUGCAGUGGGCAGCUCAUGUCUCCUAAGUGAUAUUGCAAAAUACUGGCUGAGCUGGUGCUGGCAGCACCAUGCCCAUGAGCCAUUCACAACGUGAUUUUUAACCCUAUGCACUCACUGGGGUGCUUGUACCACACCAGCCCAUGGAGAUGGCACAGUCAGCGGGCGUUUGGGAUGAAUACUGCUUUAAGACUUCUUCAAGUCAGUCUUGCAUCGUAAGCUGACACAUUUCCAGAGUCUUGACAGCUCAGUUUCCCGUCUUUUUAUUGAAGAGCCAGGUGUAAAAAUAUAUAUCGACCUAAGAAUUUCAACUGCUGAUCUGCCAAAACAUGAUCUUAAUCUUAACUGACCUGCUCAUGUUGUGCUACAGACUUCGAUGUUUUAAUGAUUCUAUGGUUGGGUAAGGGUUUGUUUCAUUGUUUUCCAUUAGAAAUAAACAUGUCAAGAAGCUUUUAAAGGUCAUCACACAAAAAACAAGAAGGGCCAGGAAAGAGGCCUCUUACCUUCACAAAUGAGGCCAAGGGCACUGACAGCAGCAUGGGCGGCUGUGUUCAAACCCUGGAUGCCUUCAGCACGCCUGGCUCUCGGUGAGACUUCUACACUCGUUUCUAAGGAAAGCAGCAACUUUCACACAGUCUACUAUGCUUUUAUACACUGUUUAAAGGUACUUUUCUAUUGUCAUUUUAAAAAAUAAAGUGCUUAUCCUAGCUGUCA